AGAAAAGGCCUUUUUUGAUAAAUAAUCAUGGAGUAUGUGAUCAACACUAGCAGGUGAGUGCUUGUUUCUGACAUCAGUGUCUAGGAAUCAGAACAAUGGGUUGCUUAUCAAAUGCUGUGAGCAAGGUUCUGGGCCAAGUAUAAAAUGUAGGUAAGCAGAGCCAGACCUCCCAUGGCCACGCAAUAAGUCUGACUCCAACUAUCUCAUUAGCUUCAUGGGGCUGCCAUCUCCACCAUUACAACCCUGGUUUAUUUAGGCUCUGUUUCUGGAAGGCUCUUACUAAAAUGCAAAGUAAUUAGGAAAAGAUAAAAAGCAACCGAGAACCAAGUAAGCCAUUCCCAUAACCAUUUAUGAAAUUAUCUUUUCAUUAGUGCUUCAACAGAAAAGGAAAUUUAUAGAGAUCGAGAUGGGACCCAUCAUUAUGGAGCAUGGGCCACAUGGGGGUGAGCACAUAUCCAGGAAUAAUCUCGAGUGGAGGUGCCUGGAAGAAGCCUCAGGACCACUGGAGUUGAAAGAUGACAAGACAUAAUGGGAGGAUGAUUGGAUUGAAAGCGGAGUCACUGAUACACCACUUUCCAGACUUUGCUGGAUCUACUGUUUUAAUGCCAGUGAAUUCUACUCUAGUUAGUCUGCCUCAAAACAGCACCAAAGGCCCAAAGUGCUUAGAUAUAAGAGUUGAAGUCUGGAGAAAGCAGUUGGAUGAAAGAGAAGAAAAGAAUAAGAAAAACUGAGCAUGAGGCAAGAGGAGGCAUGGUGAUCAAGGGACCUUGAUUCGCAACUGAAGCAAUGCAACUUUUAGAAAAAUAAGAAAGAGCCCUCUGCAAGCAUCCACAAUCAGCAACUCCAAUAAACUCUAUUUUCAAUAUACCUGCUCUGGCUAGAUUGCUUCUUUGUAAAAUAAUGUGCAUAUGUAAGAGGGAGACAGCCCAGCUACCAGGGCAUUGAGCCCACUGGCCCAAGGAAAUGAGGAAGGUCUGGAAUGUGAGACAGUGAAAUUUAAAGGAAAGCUUCCAAUAAGCCCAGCUGGCGGGUAAGCUGUGGGAUGGCAGACGAGGCAGCAGGGGCCCUUGUGGGUCCAUCUCUGUCUCACUGUCAGCCUGGCAGGAUAGCCCACCCGGGUCUGUUUGCUGGUGGGA
rnacentral:lncRNA from 10 species